rnacentral:tRNA from 1 species
GACUGGGUGGCCGAGUGGUUAGGGCAAUCGACUGCUAAUCCCUUGGGGUUUCCCCGUGUGGGUUCGAAUCUCAUUCCCGUCG